rnacentral:rRNA from 1 species
AUCAGCCAUGCCGCGUGAGUGAUGAAGGCCUUAGGGUUGUAAAGCUCUUUCACCGAUGAAGAUAAUGACGGUAGUCGGAGAAGAAGCCCCGGCUAACUUCGUGCCAGCAGCCGCGGUAAUCACGGGGGGGCUAGCGUUGUUCGGAAUUACU